UGCUUCCCGCCGCUGGGGAUAUUACUGUGUUCAAGAGUGAAAAUUUUAUUGCUUAUCCUCCUUUGCAAAAAUUAUGGCAGAAUAGGGAUCCAAGUGUAAUCAGUUUCGUUAGGUUUGUUCGUGUCGAAUAGCGUGAAAUCGGUACCGCCGUGUUUUGUUCGUUUGGGAAAGUUAGUUUAAACGUGUGAAAGUGUUAAAGAAACGUAAUUUUAUGCACCAUGAAACUAUGGAAAAUCAUCCAUAUUAUCUUCAUGAAGAUCGUGUGUUUACUCAGCAGCAGUCGUGUUAAGCAAAUCUAAUUAAAAUAUCAGAUAUUUCCGAAGAAGAAUUAUUUGCUGAGAAACAGAAUAAUGUGCAAAAAUCAGGAUUAUAUCAAACAAAUACAUAUACCAACAUAAGUAGUGAUUAUCUGAUGCUAGUGAUAAAAGGAAUUGAUUGCAACCAUUUGAUUUGAAUAUGAAUCAAGAUAAAAUAACAUCGACGCCAGUACAAAAUGGUAACAAUAACACAAAAUUUGUUGAUAAGAACAUCAUGCCUCUGCCGAAACAUAAACAAAUAUCAAUUUUGGAGAAAAACUAUUCAACGCCAAACGGAUACAAAGUAUCCCCAAAAGCUUCACCGGUACCAAAAACAGCAGUUAUCGAUAAGGUCACCAUUGACUAUCACCUGGAAAAUUUCAUAAUGAAUCGAAAAAUAGCGCUCAACGGUGGCAACGAAAUUAGAAUAGACGAGAAAAAUAUAUCGCUACAUUUGAAUAAUCCGUUUGUAACAACGUUUUCCACUCAAUACACACAAAAACAACAAACAAAUUAUGACACUUCAAUGAGUGUAAAUGAUAAUGGUAGUUCUUUGCCACGACCCAAAAGACCACACAGCAUUGCUGUAGAACCACAAUUACAGCGAAUGAAAAGCAACGAGGAAAAAUCAAACCAUCAGAUGAAUUCUGAUGAUGUUAAACACAGAGAACCACACUUUAAUGUAGCAUACUCAUCUAUUCGAAAAACUAAUGAUAAUCGUUCAAUCCCAUCUCCAAUUGCAUACUCCAGAAUACUUAAAGAGGGUAGUAUUAGUUAUGCCCCGAACGGUUCACUACCUCCUGCAGUUCCUCAAAGGCGAUCGCAGAGCAUUCCAAGACAAAAUGUCAACAACACUAAUAAUGCGCCUCCUAUUUUACGACCACGAAGCUUAGAUCGUAACACUGCAUUGUCACAACAAGGAAAUAUAGGCACAAAGCGUUUGUCUCAACCGGGUUUACCGAACAUGCGUGAUACAAAUGGAUCUGGAAUGCGUCAGUCUGUAACAUUCCAUGGUCAACCGCUAGACCAAGGUAUUAUUUAUAGCAAUAUGAAUGAACUGACUGCGAGAAAUAUUGGAUCAAUCGAUAGAAAGCAAGCACGUCCGGUUUCUUUCGCAUAUGGCACCGUUCCUGAUCAAGCAUUUUUAGAAAAACAGUUGCGAAUAUACUCCGAGCAACUACGUACAAUAACGGAAAGUGUAAAACGAUAUUCCGAGCAGGCCAAAUUACUACAAGAAUUGAAGAAACAAAAACAACGAAAUAAUAAUAAUCCUAGUUUACAUCAGUCGUCGAAGCCUCAUCCGGUUUUGCAGCCAUUGCAAACUCCUUCGCCUGGGGAUAGUUCCAACGAAGAAGUUCAAACUCCUUCACAUCAACUGAAAUUGUUUUUGGAGAGUAUACGAAGUUCGAUGAGACAACCGGAAGUUAAUGAUGGUUCAUUCGACGAUGAAGAUGAUGAAGAUGAAGACAAAACAAUAAUUGAAAACAUGGAAUUGAACGAUACACCCUCAAGAGCGAUUAAUUUGAAAGAGGCCGAAAAGCCAUCUGUUGAUGCAAACACGCCAUCAGGUCAGCUCCGGCAGUUUCUAGACGCCAUCAGAUCUAACCAACAUGAAACAUGUCGAGUUGAUUCUACACACUUGAACAACGAUAAUGGACCAUUAAACUCACGGGAUGACGUAACCCCAUCCCACGGAAUCGCUGCAGCGGAAGAGAAUGAAUCUAUAAAUAAUCCAAUAGAAAUGACUGAGCUUAGUGCAAACAAAUCAAAAUCGUUUAAUGUGGAAAAUCAGGAGAAGUUGGCCAUAAAUAUAGCAAAAACGUCUAAAACAGUCGAUCAAAUUCUAGACAAGUUUCACCUCCUAGCAAUGAACGCAAAGAGUGCCGACUCGGUGGAAUACUUGAAAAAAUGCUCAGAUGCAUUGAAACAAACUUCAGAACAAAUUAGAUUGUUUAAUAUGGCAUACGGCAAUUGUUUCAAUGGAAGCGGCGCAAAUAACAGUUCAUCGGAUGAUAGUUCCUGUAGUACUACACCUGGUUCCAUCCGGGAAGCGGUCCAAACUUUACUUAUGGAGCCCAGGAAUGGUUUUCAGAUAAUGGAUGAUCGAAUGGCGCUCUUCAUUGAUAUUUUAGACACCCAGGAUAAGUUCAGUCAGGAUCUUCAGUCCGAGAUUGAAUCACACCGUGUAGUUUAUGACCGUUUGGACAAUACUGGUAGAAAGUUACUGGGAUCUUUGACUUCUCAGGAAGAUGCUGUUAUGUUGCAACGUCGUUUGGAUGAGAUGAAUCAAAGGUGGAAUCAUCUAAAAUCCAAGAGUAUUGCCAUCAGAAAUCGCCUCGAGUCAAACUCCGAGCAUUGGAACGCAUUGUUGUUAUCGCUGAGAGAACUAACAGAAUGGGUCAUUCGCAAAGACACCGAAUUGACCUCUUUGAAUCUAGGUCCUAUGAAAGGCGAUGCAGCAAGCUUGCAAAAACAAAUGGAUGAUCAUAGAGCUUUUAGACGUCAGCUGGAAGAUAAACGGCCUGUUGUAGAAAAUAAUCUUCUCAGCGGUCGGCAAUAUGUAGCAAACGAACCACCAUUAUCGGACACCAGUGAUUCAGAAGCAAUCGAUAGUGAGUCCCGUUAUUUAUCUGCUGAAGAGCAGAGCAGAGAAUUGACACGCAGUAUACGACGAGAAGUGAAUAAAUUGUCGGAACAGUGGAACCAUUUGAUCGAUCGCUCUGACAAUUGGAAACACCGGUUGGAGGAAUUCAUGACGAAAAUGCGUCAGUUCCAGAAAGUGUUGGAAGAUCUCAGCUCUCGCGUUGCAUCAGCUGAAACGUUAACUCAAUCGUGGACUGCACCAACUUCAGCCCACGAUGCUGCAGAACAGAUGCAGCACCUUCAACGGUUGAAGGACAAAAUGACCACUGCUGGAGCAUUGUUGGACGAUUGUAAUGAACAGCAAAGCUACUUCACAGCAAAUCACGUGCUGGUGCCUAAUCAAUGUCUUGCAAAAUUGGAAGACUUGAACACACGAAUGAAAUUGCUGCACAUAGCCAUGGAUGAGCGGCAAAAAAGUCUAAUUGCCAAUGGAGCCAAUCAGCCUAACGCCUCUGAUGGUGACGGUAACAAAUCUAUGCAAGGUGUAAGCACAGGCACCAUAGGCCCUAUUCCAAAUUUAGAAUUGAGUGUCAAACCACCAUGGGAACGAGCAACAACUCCAGCCAAUGUGCCUUACUAUAUCAAUCAUGAGCGGGAAAAUACACAUUGGGAUCAUCCAGAAAUGAUUGAGUUGAUGAAAUCUCUGGCGGAUUUGAACGAAGUUCGCUUCUCAGCGUACCGAACGGCCCUAAAGCUUCGUACCGUUCAAAAAAGACUAGCUUUCGACCGUCUAGCGAUGAACGUUGCCAUAGAAUCAUUCGAUCGUCACGGUCUACGAGCGCAAAACGACAAGUUAAUAGACAUACCGGAUAUGACAACAGUCUUACACUCGCUGUAUGUAACAAUCGAACCGAUCGAUAUGCCACUGAUGCUCGAUUUAGCCAUCAAUUGGAUUCUCAACGUGUACGACUCACAGCGGACAGGGCAGAUACGUGUUCUUAGUUUUAAGGUUGGCCUAAUUCUACUGUGCAAAGGGCAUUUGGAGGAAAAAUAUCGUUACUUGUUCCGGUUGAUUGCGGAUCUCGAGAAAAGGGUUGAUCAACGUAAGCUGGGACUGUUGCUGCAUGAUUGCAUACAAGUUCCACGUCAAUUGGGGGAAGUGGCAGCAUUUGGUGGAUCUAAUAUUGAACCUUCUGUUAGAUCGUGCUUCGAACGGGCCGGUGUAAAUCAAAACGGUGAACUAACCGAGACGGCAAUUGAAGCGCAACAUUUUCUCAAUUGGUUGCAACAUGAGCCCCAAAGCUUGGUGUGGCUUCCGGUUCUCCAUCGAUUGGUUGCAGCAGAAGCAGCAAAACAUCAAGCCAAGUGUAAUAUUUGCAAAGAAUAUCCAAUCGUUGGUUUUCGAUAUAGAUGUUUGAAGUGCUUUAACUUCGAUAUGUGUCAACGAUGUUUCUUCCUGGGACGUAAUGCCAAAAACCAUAAGCUAUCACAUCCAAUGCAUGAAUAUUGUACGACGACAACAUCAACCGAAGACGUCCGAGACUUUACGAGAGCGCUGCGCAAUAAAUUUAAAAGUAGGAAAUAUUUCAAAAAGCAUCCUCGAGUUGGAUAUUUACCAGUUCAGAGUGUGUUGGAAGGAGAUGCUUUAGAAAGCCCUGCCCCUAGUCCUCAACACGGAACACAUACAUUGCAAAACGAUAUGCACUCUCGACUGGAAAUGUAUGCAUCGCGAUUGGCCCAAGUGGAGUAUGGAACCCGCAGCAAUUCGACGCCCGAUAGCGAUGAUGAACAUCAACUCAUUGCACAGUAUUGCCAAUCGCUGCCUAAUAAUGGUGGACCGAAAUCACCGGUACAAGUUAUGGCAGCUAUGGACGCUGAACAAAGAGAAGAGCUUGAAGCAAUGAUUAAGGAUUUAGAGGAAGAAAACGCUUCUCUCCAAGCCGAAUAUGAAAGGCUGAAAGCAAAGCAAACUCCAAUAACAACGCCGGACGAUUCCCAAAUGUCGCAUAAUGCGGGAAAUGGGGGAAAUGACAUGAUGGCUGAAGCAAAACUACUGAGGCAGCACAAAGGAAGGUUAGAAGCAAGAAUGCAAAUUUUAGAGGAUCACAAUCGGCAGCUGGAGGCGCAGCUGCAACGGUUGCGACAGCUUUUAGAUGAGCCCAACACGUCCAAAGCAUCUACUUUGCAAACGCGUUCUGUUACCGCUUCGCAAUUGAACACGGAAUCGCCAGCUAAAUUACAACAGAAUGGCCACUACGAUCAAAACUCAAGCUUGGAAAACGGUGCCUCUGGUAAAACAACAAUAUCACCUGCAUAUCUUGGGCAUUCUGGUGCUAGUACUGGUGGUGGCAUUAACAGCGUCAGUGAGCAUACUAACCAUAUGCCAUUAAACAAUGUCAACAAGUGUAUGUCCUCAGUCAACAACUUCGGGUCUGUUGACACGAGGCCUCCGCCGCCUCCCCAUACGAGUUUGUUACACAUGGCUGGACGGAUCUAAACGAUUACAAGCAACAUAUCACUGUGGCUAAUGAGUAUUAACAAUAUAUGGUGAUUUAAAUAAAGCCGUUGAGGAGCUGGUAAACGUUAUCACAGAACAGGAAAUUGAGCAACAAAACGACGACGGAAUUCUUGAUUUGACUGAUAAAUAAGUUGAACACAGCAGCUGGGCUAUUUUUUGUGGCUCAGGAAAGAUAUUCCUACGCGGUUUGUAAUAUUUACAGUAGUUGUCAAGUAUCAUAGCGAAUUCAAUUAGGUAAUUUACAUAAACCAAUAGAAACAUAUUGUUUCAUGCAACUAAUCUUAUAUGAAAACAAUAAUCUAAUAGUUAAGAAAAUCACGUUUUAAGCCCAAAUACAAAUUUUACUAUUAUUUCAUGCGAGUUAGAUGCGUUUUCAUUUAUUCUUUUAUUUUUCUACAAAUUCACACGUUUCUCAAGGUUUUAUUUUUUGUUUUGCAUUUUCUCAUGCAUUAUUUGAUUGGCCUCAAAUUUUUUUUUUUUUCAAAAUUGCCUUUUGAAAUAGGUUUCUUAAAUGUGUACUUAAAUUUGGGCAUGCUGUUUUGGAGUUAAAUGUAUUUGCAAUUAAUUACCAACUUGAAGGGCGUACCCUAAUCAAACGGGGGGGGGAAGUCGGUCAUUUUCUACGCUCCAUUGAAAAACUACGGGAGAGGAUGGACAGGUCGAAAAAGAAAAGUCAUUAAGUAUUAGUGUAUCGCCCUUUGCCCCAUUUAUAUUCAUACCUUUGAUGGAAUGUAUGUGCGCAGAAAAUAUAACUACGAAAGAUAAUGUAUUAUUGUACUCUGUCUGUUCUGCCAAUUGUUCUUAAAGAGAUUGAAGACGUUAGUUGAAAUAAGUUAGUGAGUAUUACCUCAAAAACAUUUUAUAGAGAACCUUUGUUCUAUUGUACGUUAGAUUCAAGACUUACUUGGAAAAGUUAUUUUUUACGACGUUAAAACCAUUUACGUGACAUGCAUGUAAAUAAUUCACAACUUUUUAAUAGCUGUAUUACAUAAAAUAGCCUCUUUCAAAAGUUUAGAUUAUUCAAUAUUCAUCUACCUAUAUAAAAAAAAAUAAUUUGAGUUUCGUUUAUUCGAUUGCCUUAGUCUGAAUCUAUAUAAUAAAAAUCAAAUGGUCUGUGUUCGUAUCCGCAUAACUCGCUAACGGCUGGAUGGAUUUUCUUCAUUCUUUCAACAGUUACGUUCGUCAUAGUUUCCGACGGGUUUAGGGGUGAUCGGGGCAAUAUGGGCCACCUAAGGAAAUCGUUCCGAAAAGCGCCGAAAAACUCAAAAGAACAUCGUUUAAAUGUAGUUGACUUAUACUGGAGAAUGUUACCUUUCAUAUUACGUCGAUGAAUGACGAAAAAUGCGUUUGGAAAUUGUUGGAAUGCACUUUUGAAAAUGUAUUGAUUUCAAUGUGUGUUCCCGACUAUACGGGGCAAUAUGAGCCACCAUUUGGGGCAGUAUGGGCCACCCAUCCAAAACCUUUAUUUUGGCGAAAAAAGUAUCGUAAUAUGGAAGAAUAUGAUAUUCCUACAACAGUUGUGAGUAUUCCAUACCAAAUAAAAUUAAAAAACCGCACAACAGCGGACUGAACCGAUUUGUCACUCUUCACCGUUUAAACAGCCACAUUUCAAUUGGUCAAUGAUCAUUUUUUAUGUUUCAAUCGCAGUAAUGCGCUGUUGUAAUUUUUCCGUAAUGAAUCUUACAUAAUAUGAUAAUAUUCUUGUAUUUGACUACUGAAAUUGGAACUUGUUCGCAUUUUAAGGCCAGAUAUCUUGUUCUAUGCAGGUAUGCCCAUAUUGCCCCAUAGAGAAUGGUUUUGGGAAAAAAAAGUUUUAUGAUAAAUUCAGAUUUGUAUCAAUAUAAACAUGUGUGCACAAUAUUCAAUUUUAAUAUAUCUUUUGAUUGUGGUGUAUUUUUGACCUGUAUUUUAAUCAGUUUUGUGUCAAAACCUUAUUUAUAAACUUCAAAUCUUAUAAUAAUUUUGCCUAUGCAGCGAAAAUUUACAUUUUCAAGUGUAUUUUCAUGUGUGAAUUGAAUUUUAAUGCGGUUUUCACGUUGAUGCAUAUGUGGAGCAUCCUCUUAAAGAUCAUAUAACUUUUACAUGAUAAAACUUGUCAAUAAGCUCAAAAUGAGGGUGGCUCAUAUUGCCCCGUAUGUUCAUAUUGCCCCUACUGCCCCUAUAUGAUAUUUCUUAUGUGAAAAUCAUAUGUAAAGUUGUGUAAAUCGUGAAAAACUAAAAUUAAGAUUUGUAUGGGCAUUUUACAUGGGUAGUUCAGAACGCGCAUUUUCGCCUACUAUGCAGGACAACGUCUGCCGGGUCGACUAGUAAAUAAUAAUAAUUCGUUUAUUCGAUUUAACUCAUUCGAUCAACAGUUUCAAAUUGUCUUAAACUAAGCCCCUUGGUAUUUUUUAUAUUUUUUUGAGUACGUAUCGUAUUGAAUAUCGUUUCAGACGAAUUCAUUCGGCAUCUUUUUUAGGUGAAAUUUAACAUAAUGAGUCAAAUGGCUUACGAUGAUUUGAAACCUUCUGGAGCAACUAUGCAAACCUAUAGGUUUCUCCAUACUUCCAUAUUCCAUAUGCACUUCUAACGCUAUGCAAACACAUUUCAAACGCAUCAGAAUGCUUCCGAAAAACAUUUAUGUGAAAUAAAGGGAUCUAAUGCCCGAACGUAAUGUUUAAUCUUUACCACUUAGACAAUGCUUAAAAAUAGGAAAUGUGUUGUAUUGGUGAAACGCGCGAUGAAAGUACACAUCCUAACUAGAAUUGCUUGCUGGUCAACUACAAUCCAUCAAAGGUAAUAGAAUUAACAUGGGCAUACUGAGUUCAUAUUUUUAUGUUGAAAUUGAGAAACGUGAUUAUUCUUGGGAUAACAUGGCUACCCGUUGCAGUUUAAUGUCAAAUUAAGUUUAGUUAUCUAGUUUUUCAUUAAAGAACAAUUAACAAUCAAGAACAUAUGAUGACGUCACAUGCUACUUAGUCAUACACAUGGCAUUCAUAUCAGUAAGCGAAAAGUACUUAUUAUCAUUGACAUUUAUAUCCAAUGACCUGAUAGUAAUAUGUAAAAUUCAUAGACACCUACACAUAUCCCGUAAUACAUAUUUCCUAAUAUUUUGUUUACAAGCCGAUGCCAUAGUUAGACAUUUUUGACAUCCAGUCAAGGAAGAUUCGAUGAAAUCAAUAUACAGGAGCAGCAAACAUGUUAGGUACAAUAGCUAUAAAACAAUUCAAUAGAAUAUAUGUCAGUCAAUGAAUCUAAUCCAGUCACAUGUUGUCAACCCACCAUUUCGAAGCCCCACAUGUUAUACGUGUUGAAACUCUUUUGUACACUAGUAAAUAUCUGAGCAUUAUGUUCAUGACUCUACCCAUGGUUUUUUUUGCAAGAGGGUAACGGAUUGAAUUUCAUGAUUUCGAAGCAUACAUUCCAUGGAUCUGUCUCAUUCUCAUUUCCUGAAUAAAUCUCAAAUUAAACCUAAAAUUGACAGUAAAAUUUAAAAUUAUCGAAUAAUCCGGCUCGCAAAACAAAAUUUCUUUUGACAGAUUAACCAGCGAAUGCCGGAUUUCUUAACAAUUCUGCUGAAGAACCUGCCAAAAUCUGUAUAAGAACUAUGAAGGACUUAUGCAAAAUUCUUAGGUUCUCAUACGAAAAUUUUAAGUCUCUUAAUAUAAUAUAAGGUAUCGUAAAAAAAGCUUGCAAAAUUGUAAGGCCUUAUAAAAUAGGUAUGUGUAUGAUUAUCUUGCUAUUUCGCAUAUGCACUGUUCUGAUACAGAUCUUGGCAGUUUCUGAUACAGAAUCGGCAGAAAAUCUGACAUCCGCUGGUUGGGUGUGUCUUAUGGCAGGUUUUUUAUUUUUUAUUUUCAAACAGUCACUUUUAAGCUGAAUUCGGGUAUUCACACAUAUCAUUCAUGUAGGUCAUGAUUUUUCAUGCAAACAAGUGAACAACCAUUAAUUACGUAACGCAAACAUAGCAUUUUUUAACUACCCUCUCCUCUACGUCACACUUUUUGUAUGAGGCAUCUAAAGAAUUUGGAUAGAUUGUCACAUUUAUCGCAACUCUCCUUCGCCCCUCUAAGUGUUGCGUAAUUUAUGGAUGUUUUUCAAGCAUGUACUUACACAUGGCAUGUGUACAUCAAAAUACAUAGAUAUUUACCAUAACGUACGUGAAGAUACUAUUUUUGAAUUUUCUGAUUAUCGGUAACAGAUGGGUACAAUUUGAGUUUAUAAUUGCAUUUAUAAGUAAUUACGUUGAACCGCGUGUGACUGCAUUUAUAUAUUUUUUCAAUAAAGAUAUUUCUCUUAUGUUGUGGAGAUUAGGAGUGGAUAACAAACAUAUAAAAUGAUAAUGCCCUUCUUGUUUAUAUCAUACCAGGUUUUACUAUUUCAAUGUUAUCCACAAAUACAGCAACCAUUCGCUAACUGAGGUAAGACAUUUCACCAGUUAACGAAUGCCGCUUAAUAACUGUCCUGAAUGUCAAUCGAUGAGAGGAUUCCCGAUGCAUUGUGGGAUUUUAAACUAGGCAAGAGAAGAUCUUCAGUUAGCCGUGCCAUAUCGGAGAUGGCGAAUUUAAUUUUCGGUCCGGCCUAGGACAUUUUCGGAUUAGAAACAUUCUCAAGACUCUGGAGAUAGUGUAUACUUUGUUCUUGCCACACAGGACACAUACUCAUGCAAUGCCGGGCAUAGACAAGCUUUCAAAUAAUAAAUGAGGAAAUGCCCAUAGAACGAAAAGCAAGCCAAGUACCAACUGGAAAAUUUAUCCAAGUUAAAAAGUAGCUCGGUUAGGAAAGGCUCAGUUAGAAAACAGUUGUUGUAUUACCUAAUGUCAUUCUUAUAACGAAAAUUCUUAUGUUUUCGAAUCUUGAUCUUUCUAUAUAUCUAUAUAUAUAUAUAUAUAUAUAUAUAUUUUUUUUUUUUAAAUCAUAUAUUUCAAAGUAAAAAUAUUUUAUGUGAAGUAAAAUUAUAUUUUACUUAUAUUUUGAAUAUGCAUUUUACAAUACAAUUUAGGUUAAUUGUUAUCAGUUACUUUCGUUGACAUGGUUAUGUGUUUCUGCUAACAUCGCAGUGAAAAAAAUGAAAAUUAUUUCUCAUUUCCGUAUUUUGUGUAGUAUACGUAGAAAAAUAAAUAUAAAGGAUGACAAAAUUUUGUGUAAUGCCCGAAGAAAAGGUGUUAGACUUCUUUUGCAGCAAGAAAAUAUACAAGGUAGGUUGAGUUACUAUUAAACUAAACUUAUUUUAAGUUUCUCCUUCUGUUCAAGAAUUUUUACGACAGAUUGUCCAUGAUUCAAGUAAUGGUGUUGACAAUGUAAAAUACAUUAUUCAACAUAUUAGUAACAAACAAUUUUUCGACUUACCCAUCGUUAUACAUUUUUUAUGCGAAUUAGUUAUAAUAUACCCCCUUUCGGUUGUAAUACUAAUUACUAGUAGCCCUGUUUAUGUGUAACAUCCUUUUAAAGAGUUUGGAACUAUAAUUAACGAAAGAAAGGGUGCACUUAGAGUAUUACUGAAUCUUCAAAUAUGUUAUCUUCAAUUUAGACAGGAAUUCAUUGCAUCAUAGAACAAGUAAAAUUGAAACUAAAUGAUUCACAAUUAAAUGUUGUACCAGACAGAACCUUACAGCAUGCUCUACCGAGAUUAGAAACAAGCAUAAACAUCGUUUGGAAUACUAAACAUUUCAUGAUAUGAUUGGUUUUCUAUUCCAUUUUGCAUUUAUAUCAGAGAACCAUACAUAUUGAAAUAUAUGUAGUAGGUAACAGUUUUUUAAGACAAAUACAUCGAGAACCAGAGCUAUGCAAUCAUGAACAAGAAAUUGCGUAUCAAUGGACAAAUAUUGCCUGUUGUAAAGGCGUAUUGUAAUAAUCAAUUAUAAUUCGUAGAACGACCUAAAUACGCUUCAUUGUUCAUAAACGAUAAUAUAUGUGAAAAUUUAUUAGUAGAGAAUUCUAAAUCUUCAUAACAAAGCAUUUUUCGUCUAUCAUUGCUUUCGGAAAAGAGUUAUUUUUUAGUUUAUCUACUUAGGGGAAAAGACGGCUUUGGCAGCUUUUGUUCUAUUAUUGUCAGGGGGUUUUUGUUGACAAAAUUUUAUGAAAUUUUUCCACAAUAUUCUUUGAUAUGCAAAGAAUGUUUAGGCCAAAUUUGAGUAUAAUCAGUCAGAAAAAAAACCCUGACAAUAAUAGAUCAAAACCUGCCAAAGCCGCCAUUCCCCCUACUUUGUUCCUUGCAGCUUUACACAAUUCUCCAAAACUUGUUUGACUCAAGAAAAUCGAUGGCAUUUUACACACAUGGAUCUUAUAUCUUAUUAUGCUUUUUGCUCUGCUCUGCACUUUGUUUACUGUUGAAGGGGUCAAAUUUAAGCUGCAGGAUAUCAACAUAUUUCUGAUCGAUUAUAACAAAACAUAGAUAAUCAAUGCUGUAUUCCAUCGAAGGGCCAAUUACUGUGUUCAGUAGAAAAGCAAAAUGCUUGGAAUAUUUUUAAUCUUUAAACAUUUAUUUUUUUCUAUGUUCAUGUAUAUCGAAGACUUUGUGGAAAUUUACAUAAAAAAAUAUGCAGUCAUGAAAGGGAAUAGUACAAUUCUGCAGUAAACACAAAAGCUUAUUUAUUUUAGUUUAUUCUCUCAAUAUAGUUUUUCAUUAAAGAUUGAUAUCCUGCAUGUAUAUUUUUUUCUGAUGAUUGAACGAAACACAACUACCAAUCUAGAAAUUGUAUGUAUGCAUUACAUAAAGCGAAACGUAAAAUAAUCAUUAUCUUAUUGAAUAAUAUGAAUACGAUUAUUAUAUGAAUUA